CUCUAAAUUUGAAAUCUCCUUCGGGCGAAUUGUGUUUAAAGAAGCGUUUUCCGGCUUCGACGGUUGGUACGUUCUUUUGGAACAAGACAAUAGAGGGCUGAAAAUCCCGGUCUUUGACCAAUCUUACGGCAUUUGUGAUACGUUUUCCAAGAGUCGGUUUGUUUGGGAAUGCAGACCAAAAAAGGGAGGUAAAUACCUUCUAAAGCUUAAAUAUUGGCGAGAGACCGAUAGCGAACAAGUACCGUGAGGAAAGAUGAAAAGAACUUUGAAAAGAGAGUGAAACAGUAUGUGAAAUUGUCAAAAGGGAAACGUUUGAAAGCAGUAUUGGCCAGGCCAGGAUUUCAGCCUCGGUGUAUUGUCCUGGUGGCGAGUCAACAUCAGUUCGGUUUGGAGCAAAAAGCCGUGUGAAGGUAGCCCUUUGGGUAUUAUAGGCGCAUGGUCGUACUCUAAGAUCGGGACUGAUGGCCAGCAGCGUUUUUGGCUUUUGCACACUCGCGCCUUGGGAUGUUGACCGAAAUGGUUUUAAUCGGCCCGGUCUUGAAACACGGACCAAGGGAGUCUAACAUAGUACAAGUAUUUGGGUGGCAAACCCUUGUGCCUAACUAAACGUGAAAAGAAGGGAUCAUGGAGACCAUCGUCCGCGCCAUAUUCCGAUCUCGGCGUAGUAUGUCAUAGAUGCUGGGACCCGAAAUGAUUGGUGAACUAGUGCCUGAAGUAGGGGUAAGCCAGAAACUUUGGUGGAGGCUCAGCUGGUUCUGACGAGCAACUUUCGCMAAMUGCNGGAGACGGGGGNNARAMGANCANUCCNCNAGCUCCCCGCUCC
rnacentral:rRNA from 1 species